rnacentral:SRP_RNA from 1 species
GACGGCCCCUCAUGUGGUGUCAUCCUGUCGAACUCCCCCAGGACCGGAAGGUAGCAAGGGUAGAUGGGCUCUGGCAGGUGCAUGAGGGGCCUUUACU